AAGCUUCUUGACCAUUUGUUGUGCCUCUUUGGAUCUCAUGAUUCAAACUCCGAUCAAAGCCAGUGUAACGUUUCAGUUUUCGUCUCUGCUCCACAUUAAUCAAACCAUUAAUCUCCAUCACCUCGCUUAUCUCCUUCCGAACGGUCUCUCACUUUGAUUUCCUUAAAGCCCUAACUAGAAAUCCGACAAUAGAUCCACUCUACAAUCCUCCUUCCAUCGAAACCCUUUCCUGUGUUUGUGCUCAAUUCCAAGAUGGGAGGCGAAUGGUAUUCUUUGAAGCUUAUUCAGAUGAUGAAGCUUACGCUACGGCUCUUCAGGAAGUUGAAGAAAGUGAAAUGGCAGAUAGUAUGUCUUCAUGAUGUAUCCCUUUCUUUUUUACCUGGCGAAGACAUAUAUUAGCCUGCGAUUUGAGAAACCAGCAAAAGGUGCGGCUUCUCCACUGUACUUGAUCUGCUUUCAAUAUUGUAAAAGGAGCAGAGGAAGAAGCUUGGUAAAGGAAAACACUUUCUCUUAACCCUUAGUUUUCUCUGUAUCAAACUUUAAAAACAUUUUAUUAUGUGAUGAAUGUCAUGAUAAAAAUCUAUAACUUUGUGUAGUGGUAUUAAUUUUUAUUCAAUUUUCUCUACA